UGGGGAAUCUUGCGCAAUGGGCGAAAGCCUGACGCAGCAACGCCGCGUGAGGGAUGACGGUCUUCGGAUUGUAAACCUCUUUCAAGCAGGGACGAUAAUGACGGUACCUGCAGAAGAAGCUCCGGCCAACUACGUGCCAGCAGCCGCGGUAAUACGUAGGGAGCAAGCGUUGUCCGGAAUCAUUGGGCGUAAAGAGCUCGUAGGCGGUUUGGUAAGUCGGAUGUGAAACCUCCAGGCUCAACCUGGAGCCGCCAUCCGAUACUGCCAUGACUUGAGUCCGGUAGGGGCCCACGGAACUCCUGGUGUAGCGGUGAAAUGCGCAGAUAUCAGGAAGAACACCGGUGGCGAAGGCGGUGGGCUGGGCCGGUACUGACGCUGAGGAGCGAAAAGCGUGGGGAGCGAAACA
rnacentral:rRNA from 1 species